UCUCUUUUUAAGGCUAUAAAAGCCAUGAUCCGAGCUCGAGUGGACUAUCUUAUCUUUUUUAGGGUUUCCCCCUCUACGCCGCCAGUGUUUCUGGCUGGACUUUGUAAUAUAACUUGACCUCCGGCCUUAAUUCAGUGAGUAAAGUGGCUUGCUCGAGCAGAAUUUCCCCUGUUUCUACUCCUCUAUAAUCAGGGCAUGACAAGCGGACACAUCGAGCCAAGGAGAAGGUAUACCCCAAUCUCCUCCUCUUACUACCGCUAACCAUGUGAUCCAGCCAUCAGUGGGUACUUCACGUCGGGGCGGGUGAGCAGGGAAGGGUUAGGAGGCCGGCACGACGUGCUAACGAGCAACGAGUUCAGCGGCGCUCUCCAUAUGAUCGGGUUGAUUAUAUCCUCUCUCCACCAUCGCACCGUUCUGCCUUUGGCGAUUCAUUGAGCCUGCUUCUCCUUUCCAGGUUUUAGGAUCUCAUGAUGGUUCUGCUACUCAAGGAUGGAGCAGCAUGAAUAGAAGAAAUCUACAGCCAAUUUCUAUUGGCUGUGGCAUCUUCUGCUAGCAGUACCUCUACACAACAGCAUGCUAAGGUCUCUCAAAACUAAUAGAUGUUGAUCUCGAAUCAGUUAGGAGGUUGAAGGUGGUAGCUUGCUGAACUCUCAUUUUGGGGGGAAAUCUGGAGAUGUCUUGUUUGUACAAUAUCUAAAGCUGGUGCCCUAUUGAUCUGUCGAUCAAGAUUUAUUCCCUCCUUUCUUACUAGCUGAUGCGUUAUAUUGUGUUGCGGGUUCUAAAAGUAUUAAUGAUUACUGUUUGCAUGGAAGGUUGUGUUAACUAUGUUCUUUGCAUAUUCAUGAUUCAAACUGUUUUUUGGGUAAUUUAGUGUAGAUAUUUUUGUCCUCAGAAUCUUGAUAUCCAGCUGUAUCAGUAUAUUAUAGUUUGUGUUUUUCCCCUCCAACUAUAUAUAUCCAGUCAGGUUGGGAUAGUUUAUGA